rnacentral:rRNA from 1 species
GACGAACGCUGGCGGCGUGCUUAACACAUGCAAGUCGAACGGAAAGGCCCUGCUUUUGUGGGGUGCUCGAGUGGCGAACGGGUGAGUAACACGUGAGUAACCUGCCCUUGACUUUGGGAUAACUUCAGGAAACUGGGGCUAAUACCGGAUAGGAGCUCCUGCUGCAUGGUGGGGGUUGGAAAGUUUCGGCGGUUGGGGAUGGACUCGCGGCUUAUCAGCUUGUUGGUGGGGUAGUGGCUUACCAAGGCUUUGACGGGUAGCCGGCCUGAGAGGGUGAACGGCCACAUUGGGACUAAGGUACGGCCCAGACUCCUACGGGAGGCAGCAGUGGGGAAUAUUGCACAAUGGGCGGAAGCCUGAUGCAGAAACGCCGCGUGCGGGAUGACGGCCUUCGGGUUGUAAACCGCUUUCGCCUGUGACGAAGCGUGAGUGACGGUAAUGGGUAAAGAAGCACCGGCUAACUACGUG